CACUCGCACCAUUCCCACUCGCUCGUUCUCCAGCGGCUCCCUCCCUCUCCCCAUUGCUCUCUCCCUCACAUAUCCGCUCACCGGCGGCCUCUCACCAUCGCGAGCGGCCUCUCUCUCUCGACGUCGGCCUCCCCUCUGCCUCUCCCUCUCGACGUCGCCGGCCCUCUUCCACCACCCCCUUUCUCCCCACUACCCCCUUUCUCCCCACCACCCCGCCACCCAGUCUACAUGCGCCGGUGAGUCCCAUGGUGAAAAGAUUGAGGUUUUUUUGCGCUGGUGAUGAGCUUCUAUGCGACGGAGACGUGCGCCGGUGUUGUAUGUGAGCGAUGGAGGCGUUGGAUGUGGAGCGGCGUCGUUGUCCUGACGGUGCCCCCACCUUGGUAGCGGGGGCCCUGCCCCGCCACGCCACGGCGUUGUCGUCCUCAUGGAGAAGAAGGAGCACGCCCAGGAGAAGAAGGCCCUGGAUGGCUGCUGCUGGAGCGCUGAGGACCUAGGAUCUGUGACCUGGGCAUGCUGCUGGAUCCGCCUCCGGAUCGCUGCUGCUGGAGACAAGGAGAAGCAGGGGACCUGGGCCUGGGAGCGCUGAGGAGAAGCAGGGGCGGGCGACGACAGGGGUGGACGACGGAGGAUUCAAAUCCUGGGGUGGAGGAAGACGACGAUGGGGAUACCGAUUCAAAGUAGGGGCAGGAUGUAAAAUCCAUCGUUUUCACCUGGUCGGAAGGAUAUCUUCAGCGACCUAUAUUUCGAAACGGAGGGAGAACAUGCCACUGACAUUACGCACAGUAGAACCGCUAGUUGAUGCAUGGAGAAUGUAUCCUGUGCACCAAGCCAAUUUUUGCACCCAAUGCACCGGUGGAUUCUGGGCCCUUAGAUGAAAAAGAAAUGGGCUAGAUUAUGGUCAAAAGUUGGACUACGACUUUUUUGCGGAGACAACCUUGUACUUUGUAGAAAUUAACCCGCACACUACAGCCCACACUCCCAUCAGAAAAUUGCAUGUUUAUUUUUUUGGCCCAAACACAAAAUGAUUCAUAUUUUUUGAACUGAAUGUUUGAUUUCA